AACGAACGCUGGCGGCAGGCUCAACACAUGCAAGUCGAACGCCCCGCAAGGGGAGUGGCAGACGGGUGAGUAACGCGUGGGAAUCUACCCAUCCCUACGGAACAACUCCGGGAAACUGGAGCUAAUACCGUAUACGCCCUUAGGGGGAAAGAUUUAUCGGGGAUGGAUGAGCCCGCGUUGGAUUAGCUAGUUGGUGGGGUAAAGGCCUACCAAGGCGACGAUCCAUAGCUGGUCUGAGAGGAUGAUCAGCCACAUUGGGACUGAGACACGGCCCAAACUCCUACGGGAGGCAGCAGUGGGGAAUAUUGGACAAUGGGCGCAAGCCUGAUCCAGCCAUGCCGCGUGAGUGAAGAAGGUCUUCGGAUUGUAAAGCUCUUUUGCCAGGGACGAUAAUGACGGUACCUGGAGAAUAAGCACCGGCUAACUACGUGCCAGCCGCCGCGGUAAGAC
rnacentral:rRNA from 1 species